GGUUUCCCGAAUGAGCAAGACGGUAGUACGAAAUGGAAAGAGUGGUUUGGACGCGGAACUUUCGGUGCGAUCUUUAUCGCAUCUAAAAAGAAGAUGGUGUGUUCUGCCCGGGAUUAUCCAGGCCUGGCGCACUGGCUGACCCGCCACUGCGUGGGCGAGCAGGCUGGACUGGAAAGGCACAAUGGAAUGUCCAUCAGAAGACUCCAAAGAAGUUAGGUGGUACGUUAAAGGUCGAUUCUUUGUAGAGGGGAUUGCAGGUUCGAGGUGAAACUGUCCACUUUUCUCCGAACACCCCAGAACUCACAAGACUCUGUCGAGUUUUUCCCAGCCGAUGACGGGAAGAUAACUGGGGAGUUACCUUCCCAAGGGCUGGUGUGCGUGUACUCUCGUGAAACUCUAUUCCC
rnacentral:lncRNA from 1 species